rnacentral:rRNA from 1 species
CCCUUAGAUGUUCUGGGCUGCACGCGCGCUACACUGAAGCGUUCAACGAGUAUUCACCUUGCCCGGGAGGGUUGGGUAAUCUUUUGAAAACGCCUCGUGAUGGGGAUAGAUUAUUGCAAUUAUUAAUCUUCAACGAGGAAUUCCUAGUAAGCGCGAGUCAUCAGCUCGUGCUGAUUACGUCCCCGCCCUUUGUACACACCGCCCGUCGCUACUACCGAUUGAACGUUUUAGUGAGGUAUUUGGACUGGACCUUCGGAGGUUCGCGCCUCCGUUGCUGUUCGGGAAGACUCCCAAACUUGAGCGUUUAGAGGAAGUAAAAGUCGUAACA